rnacentral:rRNA from 1 species
AUUGAACGCUGGCGGCAUGCCUUACACAUGCAAGUCGAACGGCAGCACGGGUGCUUGCACCUGGUGGCGAGUGGCGAACGGGUGAGUAAUACAUCGGAACGUACCUUAUCGUGGGGGAUAACGCAGCGAAAGCUGUGCUAAUACCGCAUACGCCCUGAGGGGGAAAGCGGGGGAUCGAAAGACCUCGCGCGAUUAGAGCGGCCGAUGCCUGAUUAGCUUGGUGGUGGGGUAAAAGCCCACCAAGGCGACGAUCAGUAGCUGGUCUGAGAGGACGAUCACGAACACUGGGACUGAGACACGGCCCAGACCCCUACGGGAGGCAGAAGUGGGGAAUUUUGGACAAUGGGGGCAACCCUGAUCCAGAAAUGCCGCGGGAGUGAAGAGGGCCUUCGGGUUGUAAAGCUCUUUUGUCAGGGAAGAAACACCGGCUCUAACACAGUCCGGGAAUGACGGUACCUGAAGAAUAAGCACCGGCUAACUACGUGCCAGCCGCCGCGGUAA